GACGAACGCUGGCGGCGUGCUUAACACAUGCAAGUCGAACGGAAAGGCCCUGCUUUUGUGGGGUGCUCGAGUGGCGAACGGGUGAGUAACACGUGAGUAACCUGCCCUUGACUUUGGGAUAACUUCAGGAAACUGGGGCUAAUACCGGAUAGGAUCUCCUGCUGCAUGGUGGGGGUUGGAAAGUUUCGGCGGUUGGGGAUGGACUCGCGGCUUAUCAGCUUGUUGGUGGGGUAGUGGCUUACCAAGGCUUUGACGGGUAGCCGGCCUGAGAGGGUGACCGGCGACAUUGGGACUGAGAUACGGACCAGACUCCUACGGGAGGCAGCAGUGGGGAGUAUUGCAGAGUGGGCGGAAGCCUGAGGCAGCAACGCCGCGUGCGGGAUGACGGCCUUCGGGUUGUAAACCGCUUUCGCAUGUGACGAAGCGUGAGUGACGGUAAUGGGUAAAGAAGCAACGGCUAACUACGUG
rnacentral:rRNA from 1 species